rnacentral:lncRNA from 1 species
UAAUUUUAUCCGAGAAUGGUCGCAUAUAUUGUGUGGAUUCUGUUUUAUUGUCAUGAAUGACACCAAUUUGUCAUCUACAUUGGUGACCAGUAUAUAAAUCAGAGAUUAACGUCGUAAUGUAACUAAACAUAAGUAAGUAAAAUAUAUUGGGAUGCCUAAAUAUAUAGAAUAUAGAAAGAAUAAUUAAUGAGUAAGAUAAAUAAAAUGUAUAGAAAAGUAACAUAACAAUUUAAAGAAUACAGAAAUAAUCAACACCCCAAUCCG